rnacentral:rRNA from 1 species
AAUCAACGCUGGCGGCGUGCCUCAGACAUGCAAGUCGAACGAGAAAGUUUCCUUCGGGAGACGAGUACAGUGGCGUCCGGGUGAGUAACACGUGGGUAAUUUACCUUGGGUGGGGAAUAGCAGCCGGAAACGGCUAUUAAUACCGCAUAAUGCAGCGGCUCGACAUCGAGACAGUUGUUAAAGCGGGGAUCUGACAAGGACCUCGCGCCUAAAGAGAAGCCUGCGCAGAUUAGCUAGUUGGUAGGGUAAUGGCCUACCAAGGCUGUGAUCUGUAGCCGGCCUGAGAGGGCGGUCGGCCACACUGACACUGACACACGGGUCAGACUCCUACGGGAGGCAGCAGUCGGGAAUUUUGGGCAAUGGGCGAAAGCCUGACGCAGCGACGCCGCGUGAGGGAUGACGG